rnacentral:lncRNA from 1 species
CUUCUAGGUUACUUAUUAGCUGAACAGGAAGAUGUUUGUACAGUCACCAUACCUCCUGCUGCACUUGGAUAAAUACUACUGGGCGAGUAGAGGUUAACACCCAGGCAAUUUACAAUCAGGAAAUUGGUUACACUCUUUUGAUAAAGGAAGUCAACUUAGUGUACAAUGCUGUCAGAUGAACCUUACCCUUGUAAGGCUUGUAACUUGGUUCCUCCCUUUCUUAAGCCCUUAUUGGCUAUCUUUCUUCUUUUAAUAUUUAAAGUUUUUAAUCUUUAAAUUUUUAAUUUUUAAACCAUGCUUGUUUAACCUGCUGGUAAAAUUCACGUCUUUCAGACUGUAAUGCUUUCAUGCCAAGUAAAUGGUCUUGCCAGGCUUCCAGCCUGUUUCAGAGACCACUAGCCCAGAGCCGUAUCAGCCCCUUCAGCAAGCCAUAAGAAAUUUCUACUCCUCCUGGAAAUAGAUGUAGAGACUAUGUCCAUGCUUAGCAGGAAGUAGUUCCAGAAGAGACCUUUGCUCCUUAAGAAUAAGGAGAAUGAGGACUGCGAAGGAGAACGCAGCAAGCCCAGGCGGCGGUGGAAAGGCUGGAGGACACACCUAAACAUGUGGAAUCCCAAUGCCGGGCAGCCAGGGCCAAAUCCAUAUCCCCCCAAUAUUGGGUGCCCUGGAGGUUCCAAUCCUGCCCACCCACCACCUAUUAAUCCACCCUUUCCCCCAGGCCCCUGUCCUCCUCCCCCAGGAGCUCCCCAUGGCAAUCCAGCUUUCCCCCCAGGUGGGCCCCCUCAUCCUGUGCCACAGCCAGGGUAUCCAGGAUGCCAACCGUUGGGUCCCUACCCUCCUCCAUACCCACCGCCUGCCCCUGGAAUCCCUCCUGUGAAUCCCUUGGCUCCUGGCAUGGUUGGACCAGCAGUGAUAGUGGACAAGAAGAUGCAGAAGAAAAUGAAGAAAGCUCAUAAAAAGAUGCACAAGCACCAAAAGCACCACAAGUACCACAAGCAUGACAAGCAUUCCUCCUCUUCCUCCUCCUCUUCCAGCAGUGAUUCUGACUGAAUACAGGCCCUGGACCCUUCCCUCAAGUCCCACCAGUUCUGCUCUCCCAUCAAGCUUCAGAUGCCACGUUGUACUGGGGGAAUGUAGCCCUUGUGCUCCCCACCCCCUACCUCCACCUGAGCCUCACCCUGCUGUUGAGCCCUGAGUGGCUAGGGGAAAUAGGAAGAGGAUUGCCAUGGCCUGGCCAUCUUGUUGCUGCUUGGAGAGAUCAUAUAGCUAAUGAAUUAGGCAGGGGAGCUAUUUUUUGAAGAUGAUGAACUAAAUGUUGAAGACAAGUUUGAGAUCUGUAAAAUGUGAUUUUUUACUUCCACUUAUAAUACUUGUGAUUGGGGAGGUUUGUGGAAAUUCAAUUAUGAUGAAAAACCUCUAUCUUUUUUGUAAUGUUGGCAUACUUGGGGGAUUUAGUGGCAAAUACAUUCCCCAGCAGGCCUUUUGUUGGUUGCACUAACUGCAAGGUUGCUGGGAAGUAGAGUCCAUUUGGUUGAUGAGCUUUGACUGCGGUUUUGGAACCUUACCUCUCCUCCUUAGCCCAAUAUGCUGUCUCGGGUCCUAUUCAAAUAAAGUUAUUUCUCCUGGUCUAAAAAAAAAAAAAAAAAAAAAAAGAAUAAGGAGAAUGAAAUCUCUUGGCUGGGAGUGAGACAGCUGGCUGGCUUCCUAUUUUGAGGUGGUUUAGUGAAAAAGAACAAAAGCCCCUUACUCAAGCUGUAGCUUGUCUGCAGCAGGAUAAUUAAGGAAUCAGAGAGACCGUGGGGUUGAGGAGGAAUUAUUUAAUUAUUCAGGUGCACCGACCCAGUCAGAUUAACAUCCAAAGGACUGAGCCCUGAACAAAGAGUCAAGCUACCUUUUAAGCAUUUCGUGGGGCUGGGGGAGAUCUGUGCAGGGGGAAGCAUAUCACAGAAGUGAGAAACAAAGACAGUCAUUCAAUUGAGACAUGCAUUAUAUCAUUUUUUUUUCAAGGAACAGCAUGUUUUACGACUUGAGAUUAUCUGUCUAGUGAUCUUACAGCUGCACAGCUAGAGAAACAGAGUCUUCACAAUGCCUGGGAAAGGGAGAGAUAAGGCUCACUAGCCAUAGAAAAACAGGCAGUUAAUUUUAAAGGACUCCAGCUCUUUCUCUUCCUCAGGGGGAAUUGGGUUUUCUUACAUACAACUAAGUUUUGCUUACACAUUCUUUAUUUCUUUUAAUUCCUGUUCUAUACCUAACCUCCAGCCAGUCAGCAUCAGAGGCCCA